rnacentral:lncRNA from 1 species
CCAGUGUGCCUCCUGCCUGCCUUGGAGGUAGCCUUACUCCCUGGGACGCGUCCAAGAAACUGAAAGCAAUAGGCAGAUUUGGAUUUCAGCUCCUCACCUGACGGAUGACCCCAGCCUGCUCUGCUAUGAGAUGGAGCACACCAGUGAUUACUGUAAAAGGCUGUUGUGAAGGUUCCAGGAAGUAUUCCUGAAGUUCCUGGCCACUGGCUCACAUGUACAAGAUACUGAGUCUAAACAUACCGCACAAUGCUGUCAGGGAUUGCUAUGGAUAGCCAACUCCAUUCUGCUAAACAAAACCAGUAAUUUGGAAAAAUUACAGCCCUGGAUGCCAUCGUUGGCACCACAAGGACGACCUCCCUGCUAACUGUUAAAAAAAGAAAAAAAAAAAAUUGGCGGCACACCAGGCCAAGGAAGGCCUCUGUAAAUUCAUCCCAAUGCCAACCAAGGUGCCACCUGACCACCCAAAAUGCUCCUCCUUGCCACCUCAUUUUUGUUCACCAGGAGCAGCAGAGACACCCACUGUUGUUGACAGUGGACAUACGACUUACAUUUUCAGGAAUUUAACUCAGGCUGUCCCCAAUCCUUGGGAGAACAAAGUCCCUCUUGGUGCAUUCAUCUUUAAUCAGAUGGCAUAAAAUUUUUCUACCUCAAUCUGCGCCUCCUCAAUUAUUUCCAAGUAUUUCCACAAGGCACCCACUUCUCCCAAGAUAUUUUAAUGCCGUUCGUGUCGAAAUAUGGGCAAUGGCUCUUGUAGAAUCCAUGGACACAUAGGCCAACUGUCCAGAUUCCUGGACUCCAUCAGAGACCUGCUGCGUGGCCUCUCAAGGACCAGGGCGUGUUUCUCUCUUGCAGCCCAACCACAGACACUUCCUGAGAUGGAGGUAUGGCUCAUGCAGUGACAGGUCCAUCACUGCAGGGUGUGGGAAGUGGGAUGCCCGACGACAUCACCCCAGUCCCUGCGAUCUGCACGUGCUGUCGCCUUGUGUGGCAAAAGGGUCUUUGCAGCUGUCCAUAGGACUAUGGAACCUGAAAAUAGAUUGUCUUGGGUUAUUCAGGUGGGCCCUAUUUAACCACAGGGGCCUUUGAAAGCAGACAGUUUCCCUGGGCCAAAGGCAGGGAAAGGGGCACAGAGAGUCCACAUGGGAGAGGCUCUUGACCUGACAUUGCAGCAGGGGCCACGUGGAAACUGAUGGGGAAUGUGGGGGCCUCUAGAGGAAAAGACCAGUCCUGGCUGAGGAAAUGGUGCCUGUAUCAGAGGACAGGACACACUGGAGAAAGCAGUACCCGGCUGAGGACACGGAGGAUACCCAAAUCAGAGGAUGGGAUGGACCAGAGGAGGCAGGGACUCAGUCCCACUGCUACAAGAACUGAAUUCAGCCAGCACCCUGGGGAGCGCCUCCUUCCCUGGAGUCUCUGGUAAAUAAUGCAGCCCUGCAGGAGACUUGAGCUCAGCCCAUGAGAUCCUGUGCCGAGGACACAGCGGAGCCCACACUGACUUCCAAUCUAUAGAACAGUGAGAGACGAUAAAGCUCUGCGGUUUGAAGCUGACAAGUUGGUGGUGAUUGGUUAAGGCAGCAGAAGAAAAUGAGAUUAAACAGUAACGUUCUAUGGACUAAUGGUGAGAAUCAACCUGCAGAGAGGACUCAGGGGCCCAGGCUCACCUCCUCCCAGUCACCAAGGAGCAGGCACUUAGGUCAAAUUCCUUCCCGAGUUAAUCCUGGUAAAAUGAAGAGGCCACCCCAGGAAUACAGCUCUUAACGGGUAGAAGUCAGAGAAAAGAAAUCUUCCCAUCCGAACAGUCAUCCCCACCGUGAGCAUGUGCACCCGCAGGACUCCCAGGUUGCAAUCCUCUUCUGAAAGUCCCCGAGGGGUUCCGGUCUGUAGUCGGCCCCAUCCUCGAUUUGGGGCACCUGAGUCGACACUGGGCUUGUGUCUGGAACUGGAUUUGUCAAAUACUCACCAGCCCUUCCCAGGGACCCUUUUCCUCCAGUCUCUGGCUGGUGUAUGAAGUGCCUGAGAAGCAAAUGUGGACAGUAGAGCGUGCCUAGCACCAGAGCCCAGAUAUGACUGAUCUCCAGCUUUGAUGAUGCCAAGAAUUCUUGCAUUCGUCCUCAUGUGCUAGAUCUCAACGCCAUUCGGAGUGGAUCCUGCAUCCAUGUGAGAUGUGGGUGUUGAGCGUGGGCCAUCAUCCUGGGGCCCACGGUGGCUGUGCUUCCUGAGCCCUAUUCCUCUGCCUCGGUCUGGGUGCUUCCCACUUCAGGCUGUGCUGCGGAUAUCUCCUUGUGCUUCUGCACAAGGCCCCACUAGGUUUUGAUGACUUAAGGGAACACAGUAUCUUGGAUCAAUAAUAAGACAUUCGGGGGUAUUUUAAGUCCAUCAGAUCUUGCUCAUGGGUACAGUUCCUGGCGUGAAGCCCAGGACUCUGUGGAUGUAACAAGUGUCUCCAGGUGGCUCUGGACAGUGAGGGGAUAUUUGAGAACCUCUGCCCAAGGGAUCCGUGACUACUCCAGGGAUCUGUGGCUGUCAUGAGCGUCUCCAGGUGGUCCUGGGCCAUGGGGGGAUCACUGAGGACCACUGCUCAAGGGAUCCGUGACUACUCCAGGACUCUGUGUCUGUCAUAAGCAACUCCAGGUGGCCCUGAGCAGUGGGGAGAUCAUUGAGGACCACUGCUCAAGGGAUCUGCUCCAGGGAUCUGUGGCUGUCACAAGCAUCUCCAGGUGGCCCUGGGCCCUGGGGGGAUCACUGAGGACUACUGCUCAAGGGAUGCUUUCUUAUUCCCUCGGCCCCAGCCAGAAUAUCCCACGCAAGCUGGGUGAUUCUGAUAAACACAGUUCUCACUCCAGUACAAAUGACUGAUGACUUGUGAAAACUUGUCACACUCCUGACCUCAGAGAGUGAACAAAUGGGCCUUUUCCACAAGAAAGAAAGCAGGGAAAGUGGCAGAGAGAGUCCACGUGGGAUAGGCUCAUAGCAGAGCCUCAGUGGUCCUGGCCAACCCCUGUCCUGGGCUCCCCCCAGCAUCUUCGCUCACUGGCCUGUACCACCUGCUCACAGCCCACAUGUUAGCAGAGUCUGAUGCACGGGCAGGCAGGAAACACACCACUGGGGCUGAACCCUGUGAUUUUAUGCUCUGAAGAGCUUGCCUGUGGGAACCAAUCCCCUAAAAUUGGAUGUUUUCUUUUAUAUUGAAAAACAAUAAAAAGGACAGUUAAAAAUCAAUUGAGUGUUUGACCCACAUGUAAAUGAAAGAAACUUCAGUUCUGUCCCAUGGGAACAGUGCCCCCAGAUUAGGGUGGA